rnacentral:rRNA from 1 species
GACGAACGCUGGCGGCGUGCUUAACACAUGCAAGUCGAACGGAAAGGCCCUGCUUUUGUGGGGUGCUCGAGUGGCGAACGGGUGAGUAACACGUGAGUAACCUGCCCUUGACUUUGGGAUAACUUCAGGAAACUGGGGCUAAUACCGGAUAGGAGCUCCUGCUGCAUGGUGGGGGUUGGAAAGUUUCGGCGGGUGGGGAUGGACUCGCGGCUUAUCAGCUUGUUGGUGGGGUAGUGGCUUACCAAGGCUUUGACGGGUAGCCGGCCUGAGAGGGUGACCGGCCACAUUGGGACUGAGAUACGGCCCAGACUCCUACGGGAGGCAGCAGUGGGGAAUAUUGCACAAUGGGCGGAAGCCUGAUGCAGCAACGCCGCGUGCGGGAUGACGGCCUUCGGGUUGUAAACCGCUUUCGCCUGUGACGAAGGGUGAGUGACGGUAAUGGGUAAAGAAGCACCGGCUAACUACGUG